rnacentral:rRNA from 1 species
GAUGAACGCUGGCGGCGUGCCUAAUACAUGCAAGUCGAGCGAACGGACGCGCACCUUGCUUCUCUGAUGUUAGCGGCGGACGGGCGGAUAACACGUGGAUACCCUACCUAUCUGACUGUUAUCACUUCGGGACACCGGAGCUCAUACCGUAUUAUCUUUUGAACCUCAUUGUUCAAAAGUGAAUGACGGUCUUGCUGUCACUUAUAGCUGGAUCCUCGCUGCAUUAGCUAGUUGCUAAGUUAUCGGCUUACCGAGGGAACGAUGCAUAGCCGACCUGCGAGGGUGGUCGGCCACACUGGAACUGAAACACGGUCAAGACUCCUAGGGGAGGAAGCAGUGGGGAAUCUUGGGCAUUGGGGAAAAGCCUGACGGAGAAACGCGGCGUGAGGAAUGAGGGUCUUCGGUUCGAAAGACCCUGUUAAUGGGGAAGAAGGGAUGUGUAGGGAAAAGUGCACAUAGUGACGGUAGCUAAUCAGAAAGCGACGGCUAACUACGUG